UCGUCAUCUGUCAAUCUGACAAUUACUGCACGUUUCAUUCAAUCGAGUGAAUCGCUUUUUCUUAGAAAAAAAAUUGCUUGGAUUGGAUGAAGUUGUUCUAACAUUGUCUGUUUAUAUUUUAGUAUACUUUUUAUAUUCUAAUUCAGGUGUAUUGUGUACAAUAUGCUGACCAGUGACCACAGUGUUUAAAACUUUCCUGGACUUUUAUGUGAAUGGCAUUUAAAAGUAAAAUAUACAAUUAUUCUUUUGAAGCAGUGAUUCCUACAAAAUUAAGUGAAUGCCACAAUCUUAAAAUAAAUACAGAAUCUUGGGGCCUACUUACAGAUUAUACUAUUGAAUCAGUAAAAAUCAAUUGUUAUAAGCACAAUAACCAAAUUAGCACUGCUGUCCUGUUGCUAUCUGAUGGUAAUGGAGAAGUUGUAUGUGUUGUUAAAGGCCAACAUGUGGGUCUAUUAUUUGGAGUAACAAUUGAAGAAUGGAAGAGUAUAGAAAGUCUUUGCCAGCAGGGACAGCAAUUAUUUUACAGAAAUUUCAAGAAUGGCCUCAGUAAAAAUUAUAGGUGUGAACAAAAACUGUUUUAUAAUUUCUGUCAUGUCAACCAAGCUGAAAAUGUUUUAGUUGCAAUAUUUCAAAGAGGCCUAAACACAAGGAAAGACAAGAAUAGUGUUUUAAUUAAUGUUAAGGACUUGAGGAAAUGUGAUAAUUAUUUAAUGGAUUUGUACAUUCAUAAUUUAAGGAAAUCAUAAUGAAAUAUAUUUUAAAAUUUGGUUGA